GUUUUAGGAUCUUCUGGUUC
rnacentral:piRNA from 1 species